AACGAACGCUGGCGGCAUGCCUAACACAUGCAAGUCGAACGAGACCUUCCUGUCUAGUUGCGCACGUGUGCUUAACGCGUGGUAAUCUGCCCUUGGGUUCCGUAUCCCAGUUUGAAACGACUGCUAAUACCGGUUGAUCACGUACGUCCAAAGAUUUCUCGCCCAAUGAUGAGCCCGUGUAGGAUUAGCUAGUUGGUGAGGUAAUGGCUAGCCAAGGCGACGAUCCUUAGCUGGUCUGAGAAGAGGAUCAGCCACACUGGAACUGAGACACGGCCUAGCAUCGGACGGGAGGGAGCAGAAGGGAAUAUUGGACAAGGGGCGAAAGCCUGAUAAAGCAAUGUGGGGUGAGAGAGGAAGGGGUUAGGGUAGUAAAGCUCUUUUAGACGAGAUGAUAAUGACAGUAACGGGAGAAUAAGCUCCGGCUAACUACGUG
rnacentral:rRNA from 1 species